GCCAGGUGCAGUAGUGCGUGCCUGUAGUCCCAGUUACUUGGGAGACUGAAGCAGGAGGAUCGCUUGAGCCCAGGAGUUCUGGGCUGUGGUGUGCUAUGAUGAUCAGGCAUCCGCACUAAGUUUGACAUGAGUAUGGUGACCUCCCUAUAUAGCAGGGUGCCACCAGGUUGCCUAAGGAGGGGUGAACCGACGCAGGUCAGAAAUAGAGCAGGUCCAAAACUCCCUGAUUAGUAGUGGGAUAGCACCUGAGAAUAGCCGCUGCAUUCCAGCCUGAGCAACAUAGCAAGAACUUGUCUCU
rnacentral:SRP_RNA from 1 species